UUUGUAUAACAAUAUUAUAAUUAACCUAACUGACAAUGACACAUAAAAUGAAGCACAUGUCUGUUUGCUCAUACCCAGUUCAGUGAUUCAUGAAUGUCCUACCGGUUCUACAACGGUUCCCUUAUUCAUACAUUUCAAACCUACACGUCACUAUUGGCAAAAUAUGGCUCUAAUUGAAAUCCAACGUGUAGGGUGUGAGCUAUAUGGAAGCUUCUGGAGCUCUUAAACCACGUUUCAAACUUCGGGACGUUUACUUGGUUUCCCACUUCCCAGUGAAUAUAAUUUUAGUGAAAGUUAGUUGGCGCUUUUAGCAAUGGCAAGAAUGUAAUGGCCAUUAGAGGCACAUUAGUGGCCACUGAGGAGAAAAGGCGGUAGAUUGGAAACGAUAGAUGCUUCACUGAUGGGGAGGAGAGAUAGAGUGGGUGUGAGAAGGCGUUGAAACAUUUCAAGAAAAGUUGCACGUGUUUUGGUUUAUUUUUCAUCAUUCGCCCUAAUGGAUUUAUCAUAAUUUUGUUAUUUUUCUGCUAUCGGAUCUGUGCUACAUUUCAAUUAACGGGAGAUGGGUUUAAACGACCUUAACAAAGAUAAAUAAUAUGAACUUGUAGGAUACUGGUCUGGUUUGAUAAUAAUGAAUAAUGAAUCAUAAUGAAGGAAGAGAAACGUUUUAUCGUAUGCAUGAUUCCCAGAUUCCUCAAUCAUGGAUGGACCCGGAGAACUUAACGGCCUUUCACAUAAGUUCGAAUCUCACUGAGGAAACAUCUAGCCCAAGUCUUGAUGUAAUUACAUCUAGUCCAGAUCUUCAGUGGCUUCUGCAGUCCUCUCUACUUUCCCAAUCAGAGACGACAUUGGGAACAUUUUGUUCAUUCAUACCCAGCACCACCAUGCCCAACUGCCCCUGUUUGCCACAGUGCUCCAGUCCUGACCAGUCCUAUAACGGAGCAGUGGAGGACAGUGCUGUAGGACAAACUAAUAAGCAUUCUUCUUUUAUAGAUGUCCUCUGAGGAACUUGACAGGAUAAGGAUCCGCAGGGAAAGGAACAGAGUAGCAGCUGCCAGAUGUCGGGAUCGCCGUCGGAUACUUAUUGACACAUUACAGAAUGAGACGGAUCAUUUGGAACAAGUGAAGACGCAACUGGAAAAAGAGAUCGCUGCACUUGAAAGGGAGAGAGAAAGACUAGAGUUGGUUUUUGAGGCACAUAUGCCCAUCUGCAAGUUUAAUGACCCAAAAGCAGAAUAAACACUGAUGCUGGUCAUGUUUAGUGCUGAGUCUGCUGGUUCAGAUCAGCUGUGUAUUUUAUAACGUAAUAGGCUUAUAUUUGUUUAAGAAAGCGAAAUGUUCAAAUAUAUUUCAGUGAUAUUGGCUACCUUGAGAAUUAUUAUCUUGCAUGCAGAUUUGUUUUACUUGUUUUUGUAAUAAACCACAACUUCAAAUAGCGUUUCUCUGUCAAAUCUUUUUGUACCAUGGGU